GUGGGGGCGUGGCCUUGGCGCCGUUAAGAUGGCGGCGGGUUGGAGCUGACUCCUGCUGGUUCCCCCUCUGCAAGGGCUGACCAAAGGCCACCAGCAGCACCUCUAGAGCUGGAAGCAGAGCUGCAGGAAGCCAUGGGAGACAGUUGCCCUCCUUCCCCUGGGCUCAGUCAGGGAUUCAGGCAGGAGCCAGUCCCCAGGAGCAAGCGGCUGUCGGAUUCUGCGGUGCAGGUGCAGGCCCUGCAGUCAGCUAAGAAAGCCUGCGUGCUGAGCCGUGGCUGCAGCACUCCAGAUCCAGCAGGGAAUCUUCUGCUCCCUUCCCCAGGCUCUGGCUGCUCCCUUUUUCAGGAUGAGAGUGGCCAGGAUGAGCUCGGUGCCAGUUUCUCUGUCUCCAAGUACGACGACGUGGCCAUUUCCCUGGACAUCAGCAGGUGUUUCGACGACAGCGAGCUGGAUGAUUCCCUGCUGGAGCUGUCAGGCAGCGAGAAAGGGAAUUCUCCCUUUGAUUACACCGAGGAAGAGAUCCAGGAAAUGCUGGCAGAUGAUUCCAUGGAAGCUGAGCAGCAGCAGCACCUCGCUGGUAAAAGCCAAAGUGGGAGCGGGGAGAGCGACAAGGCUGAGAGCACCGUGGGGACAUCGGUCAGUGAGGUCACAGAGGAGCCAAAGGAACCUCAGGGGCAUUCCUCAGGCAGCUCUGGCUGUGAUCCUGCCUUUCUGACUGCUCUGGAUGGGGCCCAGCUGCAGCAGGAGCUGGACCUUGACCUGCAGGAGCUGCUGAGCCUGAGCCCAUUCGCUGCCGCCUGCUCUGAUGAGGCUCUGGAAGAAAAUAACCUGGAAAGAGAAACUUUGGAUGCAAUGAUAGAUGAUUGCUUGGGAUAUUCCUCUGCUGCUGGGAGGUGCAUUCCUGAGAAAUCCUCAGAAGGGGUGAUGCCUAAAGGCCAGGAAAGCCUGGCUCAGGAUUGCCCAGGAAGUUCUGUGCCCUCAUCUGACCUUCCCUGUGGCCAGAGCACAGGGGAUGAGAGUCCAGCAUCUGUGUUGCCACCAAAAAAAGAACUUCCCAAAGCAGCAACGAGCUGUUUCUCAAGGAAAUCAGGCUCUCCAGAGGAUGCUGAAGGGGAACCCACAGGAGCUGAGCAGCCACCAGGCAGCACUAAAUUAAGUGACACAACUGUAGGCCAGACUGGGCAGGAAGAGCCACUCAGAGGGAAAAAAAGUGGCAAAUUAAUUCUUAUCCCACAGAAGGAGGAAGAAAGGUUGAAACAACGGAUCUGCAUUUCAGAAGCACAGCCUGAGCAAAAGAAACGUUUCUCUCCAGGCUGUGCCAAUCCAAGUGAGGAAAAGUGUGGCUAUUACCUCAGAGGUGGUGACCUCUCCUUCUUGGUGAUGGAAGAAUAUGUUCAGGCAAAGGAUCCUGGAGACACUUUUGGGGUUGGCCUGGCUGGAACCGGCACACCUGCAGGAGAACUUCCCAGUGCCUUUUUCCCAAACUUUUGGGAAAAGCUGGUGACAGGGGAAGAGGAGAGAUGGCAGCUUCUCACUGCCAGGCUGUUCCUUUGCAGGAAUUCCCAACCCAGGCUCCUCCAAACCUUCCUCAGGCCAGCCUCUGUUGGCAUUUGCUGGAUCAAAGUCGGAUCCUGCCUCAUCCCCUAAGUGCAUAUGGAGUGAUCUUGUGGAGGAAUUAAACAACUACAGAUACCCCAUGGCACACUACAAAAAGUAAAUCUUUUUCAUGUCAUGGUCCUGCAUCUCCCAGCUUUCCAGAGCACCAGCAAUCCCCAGGGAUCCUGUCAGCUUCCAAACUUCCUAAGAGAGAGGAGAAGCCCAGCCCUUUCCCCAUCCAUCCUCAUCCCUUUUUGGGAAGGGCUGUCUCCAGCAGACUCCUGCCAUUCCAAAGGCAGAAUGUGUAAGAACCAGCCCUUCCCACAUAGCAACUUUACUAAAAGAAGCAUUUUAAGAACUUAAGCCCUCAGAAAAAGGCCCCUCAGGCCAGAGCCUUCCACAAUAAACAGCUCCUGCCCCCGGAGACCUUGCAUAGCAACCGGUAUCAUCAGGUAUUUUGUUUUUUCCUUUGUUUUUUUGUUGGUUUUUUUUUUUUGCUGACUGGCUACAUUUUUAUGGACCUUUUAUCCCAUGGUGGUGGAGUCAGGCCCAGCUGAAAAUACCACAAGGAAAAUGGUUGAAACUAUCCUGGAAGCUAAAUAACAGCUUCUGGUGUCCCCUCCUGUUGGUCUGUGCCUCAGUGUUCCCCGACUUUUCUGAGGUGAAGAGCACCAGUGUGAGAGAGGAGAGACAGCAGCAGUGGAGAAUGUGCUGCAGCCUGGCUGGAGAACAACCAGGGAAAUUCUCCUGCUGGAAUGGAAACUGGGGGAUACCUUUUUUAUGUGUGUGUGUGUUUGACAAACCCACCUGCAAGACGUGUUACACGACACACAUCGAUGAACGAAGCGAGGCCCGAGCGCUCAGCAGCCAAAAUCUGGCGUUUGCCAUGAGCUUCCCUCCAUUCCUGCUCAGAGAGGGACGUGCCUGGGAAUACUGCCAGGAUGGAGUGACAGUGAGACCAGAGAAAGACACAACAGAACCUUGUGCAUUCCCAAAAAACAGGAAAACUCCCAGAAGAUGGAGUGUGAGGGCGGAAAGGAGCGUGGGAGACAUUGCUCCAACCCAGGAUUUCCCUUCCUGGCCAGAUGUUUUGCAGAACAUGGAUGAGGAGGUGGAUGCCAGCGAGUGACAAUCACGAGAUCUUGUUUUGCAAAUCGCUCCGACAAUGUUUCACCUCCCCAGUCAUCAGGGCUCAGAGGCAGAGUGAGAGUGAGGGAUGGAGUCCAUCUCUCAGGUGUCAGCCUGUCAUGCUUCAAUGAUGUUCACUGAGGGCUUGUUUUUUGGAAACUAGGAGAGAAAACAAAGGAAAAACGGAUGUAUGGAAUGGAAAAAUGACAUCAGAGCUCAGCGCAGUCUGCAGGUCGUGUUUUGUGAAUAUUCUCAUUCCCACCUCUUCAUUAUGAUGAAAAAGAGUCAGAGUUGAGGUUUUGGGCUUGUGGGGGUCAUCACUGCUUCUGAACCAUCAUAAAUCAGUCAACUAUUUAAAACACUAAAUAAAUGCGGUGGAGAUGUAAAAAGAAACACGAAGAAGUUAAAUUAACUGAAAUAAGUUUGGAUAAAUUAAAGGCUUAACCUAUUU